UGGGAAUGUGUGUGUGUGUGUGAUGCUAGCCUGGCAAUCUGUGUGUGUGUGUAAUGCUAGCCUGGCAAUCUGUGUGUGUGUGUGAUGCUAGCCUGGCAAUCUGUGUGUGUGUGUGUGUGAUGCUAGCCUGGCAAUCUGUGUGUGUGUGAUGCUAGCCUGGCAAUCUGUGUGUGUGUGAUGCUAGCCUGGCAAUCUGUGUGUGUGUGUGUGUGAUGCUAGCCUGGCAAUCUGUGUGUGUGUGUGUGAUGCUAGCCUGGCAAUCUGUGUGUGUGUGUGUGUGUGAUGCUAGCCUGGCAAUCUGUGUGUGUGUGUGUGUGUGAUGCUAGCCUGGCAAUCUGUGUGUGUGUGUGUGUGAUGC